rnacentral:sRNA from 1 species
UACUUUUGGACAAAGAUGGGCACAUGAAACUCUCGGACUUUGGGC